rnacentral:lncRNA from 1 species
GAAAUUAUUAAAGGUCAUCGAUCUACAAUGGUUCGCGGAAGAAGGGAGAGAAAGGACCUACUUUUGGGGAGUUUUCUCGCCAUCGCCUUGGAUCUCAUCGUGUCGGCUUGCGGAUUCCUCUCCUCCUCCUUGAGCCCAGAAGCAGCUACACACUAUCUUCAUCUCCCAAGCAUUGUCAGUUUGGACACCUUCGCACAUGCGCACAGAGCAUUCAAUCUGACACCCUCACCAGGGCCAAAAAAACUUUCCAAUCACCAUCAUAGCCUUCCCUUGAUCUGUCCCUUUAAGAAAAAUCAGCCCUUUCUGCUCCUAACCCUCUGCACACUGACCUUACACACUGGACAAUAUUUAAGGAUCAAGGUGCCAUCCUAUAAAGAGGUGGAAGGUGCGCUCGGGAAGAGCUCCCGCCGCGAAGGGCGCCGGGCGAGCCGGGACACGCAGGCACCCGAGGGAAGGGGGAAUAAAGCGGUCGCGGCGAGACGCAGAGGAGCUGCCCGUCAGCCCCGGAAACGAAGGUAGAGGGAGACCAGGCAGACCCUCUUUGAAGAAAGGAGCGAAGUGUAAAUAGCCCAAUGAUUGAUGUGCUGUCUUUGACUGCGGAGAAAGCACUAUUUUAAUUCAAGUGGCCAGGUCAGAUGGUCAUGGAAGAAGGUUGAAAGGUAGGAUUUAAUGAGAUUAAUAUGGAGAGAGCGAGAGCGCGCCUUCAUAAACAUUCAGUAAAAUAAUCGGGUUAGGAACGCUCUCCGAUUUGCGAUCGAGGUGCUAACCCAUACCGGGACUCGGCUAGCAGAAAAGUCAGGAGCCUCCUCACUGAGGGGCACUGCAAAAAUAAAGCAAAACUUCUGUGGGUGCGUCA